AGUGAACGCUGGCGGUAGGCCUAACACAUGCAAGUCGAACGGCAGCACAGUAAGAGCUUGCUCUUACGGGUGGCGAGUGGCGGACGGGUGAGGAAUACAUCGGAAUCUACUUUUUCGUGGGGGAUAACGUAGGGAAACUUACGCUAAUACCGCAUACGACCUACGGGUGAGAGCAUGGGAUCUUCGCACCUUGCGCGAUUGAAUGAGCCGCUGUCGGAUUAGCUAGUUGGCGGGGUAAAGGCCCACCAAGGCGACGAUCCGUAGCUGGUCUGAGAGGAUGAUCAGCGACACUGGAACUGAGCCACGCUCCAGACGCCUACGGGAGGCAGCAGUGGGGAAUAUUGGACAAUGGGCGCAAGCCUGAUCCAGCCAUACCGCGUGGGUGAAGAAGGCCUUCGGGGUGUAAAGCCCUUUUGUUGGGAAAGAAAAGCAGUAGGUUAAUACCCCGCUGUUCUGACGGUACCCAAAGAAUAAGCACCGGCUAACUUCGUG
rnacentral:rRNA from 1 species